UCCAGUGAUGGCACAUCUUUGAGACCUGAGCUUACUUUGUUGAUGAACAUCAUAAGCAUAAUCCCUGAGCUC
rnacentral:snoRNA from 1 species